UAAGCUCCAAAUUAGACGUCUUCUGUAUAGCUUAUAUGUCUAGUCUUGAAGACUUCUGCUGUAAGACCUGGUGGAGACGUACAGGCUCUGGUACACGUUUUUAAAGUCAAUCUCCAAGUCUUGCAAGCAAAACUUGCGCACAUUUUUACUACCAGCUUGCAACGAUUCCUUCGACAGCACCAUCAGUGGAAUGAUUACAUCGUUAUGGUAUCGUCAUAUAACAGCUCUCCGCACAAAACAGUGUAUUACCAGCGUACUGCAAGGUUUAUGCUCGAGUCGAUUUCGCAUAGGCCGCUAGUUAGACGGUUACAGCGCGCGUACCAAGUAUCAGCCAUUGAGGAAGGUACCUUCCUCCAUGGCCAAUUCAAACCUACCGCGUCAGCUCAAACUGAAAGCCGCGCCAUAGUUUCGUGUGCCCGUGAUGGCAAUACAACAAAACCUUUCAAUAAAAUGUGUGCCGUUAUUACACAAUUCGUAAAAGCUUUAAUAAAACAUUUUGAACGAAGUUUCACAGGCUAGUAUAACAUGGUGCGGCACAACAGUUGGUGCGCUACUAUGGCUUGGCCGCUUCCAACGCUAGCUCCCGCGCCUGCCAUGCUGCCGUUGCCGUGCAUUGUCUCCGUUCGCGCUUGCAGUGUCGCGCAUGGCCGCGCGCCCGCACUUUGCAAAGGAUUCAACGGGUCGCUUUCGUGCGUACAUCGCAUUCUCUGUGUGUUCCUGCGUUGAUGGCUCAGCUUCGUUUUGGUGCUUUCAGACAUUCACGUACUAAUCACAGACAUGGGAAGACUAUAAGACGUCAAGAUGAAAGGCUCCUAGCAGCUCUCAGUGUUCCCAACGAAACUGGCAGAAUGGCAGUGGCUGAUUACAAGCUGCCUUUGGUGAACAAAAAAAACGUGACCACAUUAGAAUCCGAGCAGAGCUCCAAUCCUGCAUUCUGAUGACACCUUACACAACGGCUCUCUGUUAUGGGGGCUGGUACUUAAGAAGCUUUACUGCGGGCAUCCUACCCACUAUUUUCAGACUGUUUUGGUGGAAACUUAAGCUAGACUCUAGGCCAGCGGCGGAAAAAGAGCUUCAGGGACGUGCAUGUCUACAGUGUCAUGGAAGGUAAGAUUAGAGGGCUGCUGUUUGACUGGGCCUAGAGAUAAAGUGCAGUGACUCUUACUCACAAAAUACAUGCUAUUUUGAAUGAAAAAAAUAAAUAAAAACAUGAACACAUUUGAAAAAAAAAUAUCCAUCCAGUGUAGCUAAGUCGGGUGGACAUCUUUUUCUUUUAUAAGCCUUCCUCCCCCUUGCAGUUCCAUAGAACUGAUGUUCCACAAAUUUUAUUUACGAGUUGCAAAUCUGUUCGUAUGUAGCAAUGGUUCGGAUAUCAGCCACAACUGCUGAUACCGUGUACACGUGCUACUUGCACUGUUUGACUAGAUGGUUUGGUAUUCCAGAAGCUAUUCAUAGCAAUACCACGUGGGAAAAUGUGAUGACCGAUGCCAUUCGCCAAGCAGCAACUGCCUGGUUGAAGAAUUGCAGUUUGCGAGCGGAUAAAAAGCCAGCACGUUACGUUAAGCUUAGUGUUCAGGUAAUUUUAUAUAGAAAUUUAAGAUAUACUUACGUUUUUAACUGAGUCAGCAUCAUGUAGCAUGUUUACAUCUCAUUAAAAUCGACUGUUGGUUCUAGAUCAGAAGUGCAUGGUAUGGGAUUAACAUUUUGUCUUGGCGUUCUAAACUCUACUUAUAUCAGUCUGUUCUCAAUCGCCAGAUAACUUCCAACGACCAUCUAUGCAUGAUGUUGUGACAUCAUGCUUUACUGUGGCCAUAGGGAAACUUGUAUACAUUCUGAAGAAUUUUACUUUAGACAAUAAAUUCUGGGAACCCCAAGUAGAGUUGGCGUUCAGGGCCAC
rnacentral:lncRNA from 1 species